GUCAACACUCCUCUAUUAAGUCAACACUCCUCUAUUAGGACUCUAUUAUUAGUCAGGAACUCUUCGAUCAUUUGCAGAAAGUAAUAGAGGAGUGCCGCGCCUCCGUACGUGCAUUUGCAGGAAGGAACUCUUCGAUCUACAAGUAAUAAGCGUUUCAAUUUAGGAGCACGAUGGAUGUUGCACGUAAGAAUGCUCCUGCGUCGAACGGCGAAUCCUCACAUAGAAAAGAUGCUAAGUACAUGCAAUGA